AGGGAUUUUUCAUUUGGGGUUUAUUUACGUUCAUUAUUUAUUUUUUGGUCUGACACUUUAUGGUUGCGUUGUAACUGAGUUGUUGACUUUGCUGAGUUUUUAUUGAGCUCAGUCCAGUUCGUUUGCGACCGAACUGCUUCUUCUUUUCAUGCCUCUCCAACAAAAAAAAUCAUCUUAUGGUUUCUUCUUCUGCUAUUUUUAGUCUGAUUGCAAAGGAAGUUUGUUCGACAGUCAACUUCUGUCCUUAUCCCUGUUUGAUAAGUCCUUUCACCCAUUUCAAUUUCCCGUGAAAUCAUCCAUUCAAUCUUCUCCCUCCUCUUCGUUUUGUUUUCUCUCCUUCUUCUCCAAAAAGCUCAACUUUGCAUCUGCAUCAUCGUUCAUUCUUUUUCCUUUUCUUCGUUUUCCUUCUCUCUCAAGAAGAGAGCUUUUGUAUCCCAGCUUACCCAAAAAAAAAUUACAUCUCUGAUCUCACCUCCUUAUUUUCUACCAGUUGGUAAAACUAGAAGCUUGCCUAGAAUUAUUUGCUGAGGAAUGAAAGAAGGAGGAAGACAUAUUCUUUCAUUAAAGUUGCUGUGAAAGUCACUUGUUUCUUUAAAAUCAACGAUUAGUGAGUCCAUUUUAGCCUCUCUGUAUUCAUUUUAGGCUUUUUGUACUCUCAAGGGUGUGGUGUUCUAACUAAAUGUUGUCUGGGUAGAUCAGGUCUUUGCUUUUUCAUUUUGUAGAAUGUUUUAUGUGAACAUUCACGAUGUUCUUCGCGGGAAGACUUUCCCAAUAGGUUGGUGAUGGGGUAGAUAAUAGAUUUAUUUCCCAUCUAGCUUGGUAUGUUGAUGAUUGCUAGGACUAAGUGGAAUCAACAAAUAUCAUGAUGAGUUAUGUUCCAGUAAAACUCUUGAUAGUAUACAGAUUUAUUAUUACCUUUAUGUUAUUUUAUCUAGCCACAUGCCCAUAUUCAUCUCAUCUGAAACCAAUUAUAAAAUCGCUGCCCUGUGUUGGUUUUGUAUGAUCUCAUUCAUGAUUAACUUGCUCUGUGAUAAUUAUGAACAUGAAUUGCAUCAUUAAUGGGUAGCUUCCUAUUAGUUGAAUACUUUAUUUUUUUUCUCAUUAUUCAUAUAAUUUGUUCACAUUUGGGGUUGGGGUUUGAAUUAUUUUGUAUUUGCAUCAAAAUAUUGUUGUUGGGUGAGUUCAGUUUCAUAUAUGUGUUUUUACAAUGAAAAUGAACGCAACUGUGAUCACUUCCAUAUAUUCUGGCAGAAUUUCUGAAUUUCAUUCACUCUAAUCGACUAUUUUAAUCCUCACAGAAAUCAAAUGUAUUGUGUAUUUUGACUGAAUCUGUGACUUGUUGUUUGCAGGGUGAACAGUCAGGGUGAUCCGCACAAGAAACUCCUUAGGGUUCUAUAGAAACGUAUCUCUGUCAACUCUAUCUACAAUGUUUCAGGCUAUACCAUUUGCCCCCACUGGUGAGCUACCACACCCGAUGGUUUCCUCAUUAGUUCUCACUUACUCAUGCUAUGAAGUUUCAACUAUAUAUGACGGAAUAGAGCAUCUUUAGUCUCUCUCUCACCCUUUUGCCCAUGUGCCACUCCAAACAUCUGUAGUCAAGGUACUUUCUAAAACAAUCUUUCUUUGAGAUGCAAUUUCAAUCAUCCCAUAUUGCUUUAUAUGUAAUUUUUCUCAAUGUACACAAUUUAUUUCUUUUUAUGGAUGGUGGUUACUUCUCUGCUAAUUUGUAUUUCUACUCUCUUAUAUGAAUGUUGUUGGAACAAUUGCAGUUCCACCCACUGAAACAAAAAUCAAAGACGAAAAUUUUCCUCGCAACCUUGAUGCACCCCAAAUGUCUGCUCAACAGAUUUCGGCCACACUGUAUGAAUCUUUGCUGGCUGACUUUCAAUAUUCAUUUGCACCAUGUCGUUCUUACAUGCAUGUGUUUAUCGUGGUUAUUUUCAAGACAGCAUCCCCCUAGCCAACAUUCAAACAGGAAAGUCUCACCCGCCACGUGCACAAAAUAAUUAGGUGAUUGUUUACCCAGGAAAAAAGUAAUGUACCAUACUACCCUUAGGCUUCUUCACAAAAUUGCCGUGGGACAUCGUCGCCUUGUAUCGUUCCUUCCUUCUCCGGCCAAGUCGUCGGAGUCAGUGUAUAAUUAGGAUUCUCUUUUCCCUUUCAUGUAUUGAAUAUCAAAAUGAGGCUAUAGAACGUGAGAAGAUCAAAGGCCAUAGGGCUAUACCUUGUGGAGUAUUAAUUAAUACACGUGUUUCGUUUGAGUGUUAGAGCGGAAACGAGAAGCCAUGUAAUUGUUAUCCAUCACGAUCGGGUAAGUGUAAAAUUUGAAGAUUGUUUACGUUGAUCAAUUGUUUUUAAAAAUCAGACCGCCCAGUUGAACUGGUCGAAUCAUAUACCGAUCAACUGGCCAAGCUGGUACAAUCUGAUUUGACAAGAAUGGUUAUUGAACUAGUGGACAUCGAAAGAAAAAGUGUACAGCUUCUUCCAAAGCCUCCAAACAAACCCAGUAAAUGGUGUCGUAUGAACAUAUUGGUAGAAGAAAGGAAGUUUGCUGCAUAAUUAAAUCUAUAUAAAGUGUCAACCGUCUACGUAUAGUGAACAGCCGGAACACUUCAUUCACGCACAAAAAACUGUUUAUUAGUGGAUUCUUAUCCUCUCGUGUGUUCAUUUACGCACAUGGAUGCUGUAAACUGACUCUUCCAGAUUGUGUCAUAUUAAUGAUUUCAAAUUGGACAGCAAAGGCACCACGUGUACGGUGUGGAAAGUAUAAAAAAUAUAUAAAGUAUUGUUUUUGCCUUUUUCAUAUGAGGUUUUUAUUGUGUGGAAGAUACAAAGGGAUUUUUCAUUUGGGGUUUAUUUACGUUCAUUAUUUAUUUUUUGGUCUGACACUUUAUGGUUGCGUUGUAACUGAGUUGUUGACUUUGCUGAGUUUUUAUUGAGCUCAGUCCAGUUCGUUUGCGACCGAACUGCUUCUUCUUUUCAUGCCUCUCCAACAAAAAAAAUCAUCUUAUGGUUUCUUCUUCUGCUAUUUUUAGUCUGAUUGCAAAGGAAGUUUGUUCGACAGUCAACUUCUGUCCUUAUCCCUGUUUGAUAAGUCCUUUCACCCAUUUCAAUUUCCCGUGAAAUCAUCCAUUCAAUCUUCUCCCUCCUCUUCGUUUUGUUUUCUCUCCUUCUUCUCCAAAAAGCUCAACUUUGCAUCUGCAUCAUCGUUCAUUCUUUUUCCUUUUCUUCGUUUUCCUUCUCUCUCAAGAAGAGAGCUUUUGUAUCCCAGCUUACCCAAAAAAAAAUUACAUCUCUGAUCUCACCUCCUUACUUUCUACCAGUUGGUAAAACUAAAAGCUUGUCUAGAAUUAUUUGCAGAGAAAUGAAAGGAGGAAGAAGGCGCAUUCUUUCGUUAGAAUUGUUGAGAAAGUCACUUACUUCUCCAAAAUCAACGAUCA
rnacentral:lncRNA from 1 species